CGCAAGGUGAGUGGCAGACGGGUGAGUAACGCGUGGGAACCUUCCCUUUGGUACGGAAUAACUUCGGGAAACCGAAGCUAAUACUGUAUAAGUCCUUCGGGAGAAAGAUUUAUCGCCAAAGGAUGGGCCCGCGUUGGAUUAGCUAGUUGGUAGGGUAAAGGCCUACCAAGGCUACGAUCCAUAGCUGGUCUGAGAGGAUGAUCAGCCACACUGGGACUGAGACACGGCCCAGACUCCUACGGGAGGCAGCAGUGGGGAAUAUUGGACAAUGGGGGCAACCCUGAUCCAGCCAUGCCGCGUGAGUGAAGAAGGCCUUAGGG
rnacentral:rRNA from 1 species